UUGAAACACCGGUUCUUGUAUGAUCACUGAAGUUAAGCAACAUUGAGCUUGGUCAGUUCUUAGAUGGGUGACCACUUGAGAAUACCAGGUUCUGUAAG